CUUGGUGAAGUUUUUUCGGUGAGAAUUCAGUGAUUGUGUGAAGCAUCAUCGCUCAUUCUGGAUACAUGUAUUUGGUGGAAUACGAGUGCUUUCUGGGAUGAUGAAGACUUGCCGGAUACUCGUCUUCCUUUACUUAACGUUGAGCGUCUCUAUGACAGUUGCAGGAUACCAUCACUUCAUGAUGAAAGCCCUCUUCCAUGGUGCUGGUAUGGGAAUGAUGAUGCAGCAGAUGAGGCCGAGAAUACUUCCUAUUCCCAUACCCAUACCUACGGGAUUGUUUUCAGGAUUUCGAAGACAGUUUGAGCAGCCGCAAGUCAUUGUGAUUCAAGCGCAUCCAAAGCCUCGGGAAAACAUCAUCGUUAUUGGAGGUGGACAAAACGAUCAAGCCUGCUGUUGGUAGCGAAGGUGCUUUUGUGGACAAUUAAUUGACAACUAUCAUAGCGGAUAUCUUUUAGCUAACUUAUCCUGUAAAGUCCAUCGCAUUUGGCCAGCUUGCAUAUUUACGUAUAUUUCUAAUUUUCAGAAUCAAAUCCAUGUUAAAUUCCUUAACCUUUUAAAUAAUUAUAACCACUUGUUUAUUUAUAAUAUAGUGAUAUUUAUAUAGCAUGUAAAUGGUGGAAAUAGCUUGCAACUUUAUUGUAAAGUUAAAUUUAGUAAAAUUAGAGCGUUUGAAUACUGCAAGUAUAUUGCCAACGAAAUUUGGAAUAAAUCAGAAAGUAGUGUUUACAAUAUGGUUAUAAAAAUUAAAAUAAUACCAUUAAAGAUUAAAAUUUAUAAAGUUAACAGAUUAUGAAUGCUCCGGAUAAAUGCUAUGGCCUUAAAUGUAUGGGUCAGCUAAAUGUAAGGGCGGAUAUGUAGUUGCCAGUUACCUGACUUGAUGCCCAUUUAGAAACUGAGGCCAAUGAGAAUAUUAAUAGAAUCAUACCUUUACCGUUUGAUCACGGAUUCAUUAGAACAAACGAUAUUUUAUUUUCAUUCUCAGAAUUGAUAUUGCCUCAAUAUAAUUUAUUUUUCUAUUUUUCUGUAAAUAAUGUGCUUGAUGGUGGAACUAUCAUAAGUAAUAUUUAAUUUUAUAUAAUAUUAUGCACUAUUUGUCUAUUUGCCAGCUCUCGAAUAAAGAAAAGUAAGUGUAGUUCAAGAAUCGAUGUUUAGGUUAACCAGGAAGACGUGACGAUCUAAGUUAUAUGACUAACAGCUUUAUCGGUGAAUAUUAUUAUCAUCCAGUGCCUCCUAUAUUUAUAGAAAUAUAUCUAUGAUAUUAAACAAUUUUUGUUUCAAAUAUAAAGAAUCAUAACACAGAGCAUCUAUUAAUAUUGCCCCAGUAAAUAAAAAACUUUCAGCAUUUUGCAUUUUAAGGAGAGGGAAACAAUACUAGGCGUUAAAUAAAAACGACGCUUUUCGACUUAGUGACUUGACUUUAUGAUGCAUGUAUUCCAGCGACACACCAAUUUGAGAUUUCCUGGCUAUGGAAGGGUUUCGAUUGGAUGGCUAUCCACUGAUGCAUCGCGUCUUCCACAAGUGUUUUGUGGAAAGUGUCCAUGAUAAACUUUUCUCCCUAUUGCGAGCAGCCCCCCCACCCCCCAAUAAAUUUCCGCAGACAUUUUCCAGUCAGAGGAAAUGGAUGCUGUUGACUGUUUCCGACAUCACUCUGUCUCACAAAGCUAAGUUGAAAUGCACCGCAGUCUCCUCUUUUAUUCAAUUCAAAUGCAGCAUUGAAUUUUUUCCUUGAUGAAUCUUUGCUCAGUUAUUAUGAGAAGAUACUUUAGUCUAUUACCGAUACUGUACCACCUUUCUGUUCUUCACCAGAACGAAAAGAAAUGACCUUCUCACGACACACAUUGCCUUGCUAAAAUACACCGCGUUUUCCUUUUUUAUUCCUUUUAAAUGCGGUAUAUUAGUGAAUUAAUUUCUUUUGAUAGACCAUUGCUUCUUUAAUAUGCGGAGAACCUUUGGUCUAUUGGUGAUAAUCGAUUUACCAGAACGAAAAUAAAUGGUCUUCUCACGAUAUACAUUGCCUUGCUAAAAUGCACCGCGUCUUUCUUUUUUAUUCCUUUUAAAUGCGGUAUAUUAGUGAAUUAAUUAAUUUUGAUAGACCAUUGCUUCUUUAAUAUGCGGAAAGCCUUUGGUCUAUUGGUGAUAAUAGAUUUAAAAAAAACGAAGAGAAAUAAAGCCAUCUUAAUUAGAUUUCUCUCAAUUUGUCACAAAGUUAAAAACUCAGAGUGUAUGCUCAUUGGCGAAAUUUCUCUUUAAAUUUAUUAUAUUAGCUAAAGUGUGGGUAAUAUCUCCUACAAAUUCAAAUAAAUUUCUGAAUAAUAAUAAGAAUAUCAUUAAAUACAUUUUAAUUAUGAUUAGUUCUAUCAAAAUAGAUCUAUUUAAGUAAAUCUUCUUUUCUCGUACUGUCAACUUAAGAUGUCACUGAUUGUAGAAAUAUCCUUUAAAAAAUGUUCGAUUCAUAAAUAAUUGUGGAUUUAUUUUUGCAUUGGAAAUGUACAGAUUAUAACUAUGAGAUUAUGAAAUAUCUUCGAUUCUCAUUUCUUUGUAAUACUUAUUGAUAAAAUCAUUCUUUUAGGGACCUUUUGCAAAAAUUGACUCAUCGCAAGGCAUAUUUACUGUAAAGGUUUCUUCUAACAUCUUUGUAAGAAAUUUCAGCUGUAGUCCAAUGAAAUAGGUUAACGAAACAAAGAAUAAAUAAAAAAUUAAAAUCAGUCCAGCUGAAAUCUUAACGCUAGCUUAUAGCUUAAAUAAGUUAUAAGCUGGUGUUCAUGGAGCAAAGAUAUAAUUGAAUAUUCAUUGAUGACAGUUUAAUUUGCGCUGGUCUGUUUCAUCGGAGAAAUUUUAUCUGAGAAAAAGUGGAUCAUUAAUCAUAAUAUUUUGUUUAGCAUUAUAAUAUAUGCA